rnacentral:pre_miRNA from 1 species
CUUGUACUCCCUCCGUUCGGAAUUACUUGUCUCGGAAAUGAAUGUAUCUAAAAACUAAAAUACGUCUAGAUACAUUUAUUUCUGCGACAAGUAAUUCCGAACGGAGGGAGUAGUUA